GAAAUCGUUAAUGACCAUGGUUA
rnacentral:siRNA from 1 species